rnacentral:rRNA from 1 species
AUUGAACGCUGGCGGCAGGCCUAACACAUGCAAGUCGAACGGUAACAGGAAGCAGCUUGCUGCUUCGCUGACGAGUGGCGGACGGGUGAGUAAUGUCUGGGAAACUGCCUGAUGGAGGGGGAUAACUACUGGAAACGGUAGCUAAUACCGCAUAACGUCGCAAGACCAAAGAGGGGGACCUUAGGGCCUCUUGCCAUCGGAUGUGCCCAGAUGGGAUUAGCUAGUAGGUGGGGUAACGGCUCACCUAGGCGACGAUCCCUAGCUGGUCUGAGAGGAUGACCAGCCACCCGGGAACUGAGACACGGUCCAGACUCCUACGGGAGGCAGCAGUGGGGAAUAUUGCACAAUGGGCGCAAGCCUGAUGCAGCCAUGCCGCGUGUAUGAAGAAGGCCUUCGGGUUGUAAAGUACUUUCAGCGGGGAGGAAGGGAGUAAAGUUAAUACCUUUGCUCAUUGACGUUACCCGCAGAAGAAGCACCGGCUAACUCCGUG